AGCUAGAGUUGACUUAUUCUAGCAGCCGGCGUCCAC
rnacentral:sRNA from 1 species